rnacentral:miRNA from 1 species
UGGCGCCGUGAAAACAUCUGCC